ACCGGGUGUGGUGGCUCACACCUGUAAUCCCAGCAAUUUGGGAGGUCGAGGUGGGUGGAUCACUUGAGGUCAGGAGUUUGAGACCAGCCUGGCCAACAUGGUGAAACCCCAUCUCUA
rnacentral:sRNA from 1 species